rnacentral:rRNA from 1 species
GACGAACGCUGGCGGCGUGCUUAACACAUGCAAGUCGAACGGUAAGGCCCUUCGGGGUACACGAGUGGCGAACGGGUGAGUAACACGUGGGUGAUCUGCCCUGCACUUCGGGAUAAGCCUGGGAAACUGGGUCUAAUACCGGAUAGGACCACUGCCUGCAUGGGUGGUGGUGGAAAGCUUUUGCGGUGUGGGAUGGGCCCGCGGCCUAUCAGCUUGUUGGUGGGGUGAUGGCCUACCAAGGCGACGACGGGUAGCCGGCCUGAGAGGGUGACCGGCGACACUGGGACUGAGAUACGGCCCAGACGCCUACGGGAGGCAGCAGUGGGGAAUAUUGCACAAUGGGCGCAAGCCUGAUGCAGCGACGCCGCGUGAGGGAUGACGGCCUUCGGGUUGUAAACCUCUUUCAGCACCGACGAAGCGCAAGUGACGGUAGGUGCAGAAGAAGGACCGGCCAACUACGUGCCAGCAGCCGCCGCGG